rnacentral:ncRNA from 1 species
GGUUAAGUGACUAAGCGUACACGGUGGAUGCCUUGGCAGUUGGAGGCGAUGAAGGACGUAUUAACUUGCGAUAAGCCUAGUCAAGCUAGUAAAAAGCACUUGAGACUAGGAUUUCCGAAUGGGGAAACCCACCUGCUUGCAGGUAUCGUUAACUGAAUACAUAGGUUAACGAGGCGAACGCGGAGAACUGAAACAUCUAAGUACCCGUAGGAAAAGAAAUCAACCGAGAUUCCGAAAGUAGCGGCGAGCGAAAUCGGAACAGCCCUUAAGCUUAUUAUGUGUUA